rnacentral:lncRNA from 1 species
UCGAAAAUGAAAAGAAUAUUCAUAGUAUGUUUCUUAAACCCUAUUCAAGGGUAGAGCCAGAGCCAAAUUUAAAGAAUUUGAAAGAGAGUUGUUAUGUGAAUUUUUUAUCAGUACAGAUUACUUCACAACUUUCAAUUCGUUGUAGAAGUGUUAUGUAAGGAGAAUACUUAUAUUCUUUCAGCUUAUAUAUAUAAUUGCUAUUACUUGCUGG